rnacentral:rRNA from 1 species
UGGGGGAUAUUGCACAAUGGGCGAAAGCCUGAUGCAGCGACGCCGCGUGGGGGAUGAAGGCUUUCGGGUUGUAAACCUCUUUCGCUAUCGAACAAGGCCCGCUUAGGGUGGGUUGAGGGUAGGUGGAGAAGAAGCGCCGGCUAACUACGUGCCAGCAGCCGCGGUAAUACGUAGGGCGCGAGCGUUGUCCGGAAUUAUUGGGCGUAAAGGGCUUGUAGGCGGCUUGUUGCGCCUGCUGUGAAAACGCGGGGCUUAACUUCGCGCGUGCAGUGGGUACGGGCAGGCUUGAGUGUGGUAGGGGUGACUGGAAUUCCAGGUGUAGCGGUGGAAUGCGCAGAUAUCUGGAGGAACACCGAUGGCGAAGGCAGGUCACUGGGCCAUUACUGACGCUGAGGAGCGAGAGCAUGGGUAGCGAACAGG